CCUGCGCUGCUACCUGCAAGUCGUACGAGAAACACGUCCUUCGGGAUGUGGAGUAAAGUGGCGCACGGGUGAGUAACACGUGGGUAACCUGCCCCGGGGAUCGGGAUAACUGGCCGAAAGGCCCGCUAAUACCGGAUGAGACCACAUGAGCUUCGGCUCAAGGGGUCAAAGUCGGCCUCUCAACGAAGCCGGCACCUCAGGAUGGGCCCGCGGACCAUUAGCUUGUUGGUAGGGUAACGGCCUACCAAGGCUGAGAUGGUUAGCUGGUCUGAGAGGAUGAUCAGCCACACUGGAACUGAGAUACGGUCCAGACUCCUACGGGAGGCAGCAGUGAGGAAUAUUGCGCAAUGGGGGAAACCCUGACGCAGCAACGCCGCGUGAGUGAAGAAGGCCCUCGGGUUGUAAAGCUCUGUCAGGUGGGAAGAAACCUCCACAGGUGAAUAGUCUGUGGAACUGACGGUACCACCAAAGGAAGCACCGGCUAACUCCGUGCCAGCAGCCGCGGUAAGACGGAGGGUGCAAGCGUUGUUCGGAAUCACUGGGCGUAAAGAGCGUGUAGGCGGUUCGAUAAGUCGAGUGUGAAAUCCCGAGGCUCAACCUCGGAAGUGCACUCGAAACUGUCGAGCUUGAGCACGGGAGAGGGAAGUGGAAUUCCUGGUGUAGAGGUGAAAUUCGUAGAUAUCAGGAGGAACACCGGUGGCGAAGGCGGCUUCCUGGACCGAUACUGACGCUGAGACGCGAAAGCGUGGGGGAGC
rnacentral:rRNA from 1 species